UCAGGUCCAGAGGGAUCUUAACCUCCUCUCAGGAGAGAGAAACCAAACAAGUUCAGGAAGAUUUGACUACCUCUGUACAUGCUAAUUUCAAAGGACUACAAAACAGACAGUAUGGGAGGUUUGCUGCUGCACAAUUGGAUAACCUUUGAUGUUGCUGAGCUUCUGCCAACUGUGAUUAGGCUUGGGAAAUGAGCCCUGCCACUCUGGACUUCAAUUUAAAAAAAUCAAGAACCAAGAAUCAUAUCAUCCUUAACGGAAACCUUCAGAAAGCAUUCCAGAAGCAGGUGUAACUACUGGAAUGAACUAUGGCUUAUAAGAUCUAUAAGUAUAAAUAAUUAAAAUGCAUGUGUUUGAUUGUUCUCUCCCUGCUGUGGUGUAAAUUAAGAGUAACACCACUGAAGUCAAUGGACUAAAGACAAUGUAAAUGAGAAGAGCAAAAAUGUUCUCUCCUUGAAAAACACAAUUUCCCCCCAAGAAUUCAGUCUUCACCCACUUUGGAUUGCACAUUACAACCACCAUCCAUCUAAAAGGCCAUUUCUAACAGAGGUUUUCAGCGUUACUUAAGAUUCUGAUUUUUAAUAGUGCUGAAUUCUUAUUGAAGAUGAUCACUCAACUCCUCUGAAAAAAAAAAAGUUGUGGUGGAAGAACAUUAUUAAUAGAUGUAUUAGUGGCCCCAGGAUCAUAGGCACAGUGCAAACACAUCGUGAGAAAGUUGUUGUCCCAAUCUAGCAGACAAGACAGAGAGGAAACAGAAGCAAAGAGAGGUGAAGUAGGUGCAACUGUUAAGUCAUUUAUUACUUAGAUAUGCCAGUCCAAAAAAAAAAUUGUCUGUAGAAUUUUAUCAAACACUUUCCUUAAAAUGUGAUUACCCCAGCUAGCCUCAUAUAUGACAAAUUAUCCUGGAAUUAGGUCAGUACUGUAUUUUUAACAACUUUGGCUGCAUAAUAUCUUCUCUAAAAAUUGUGCACCCGACAUCUAGCAGAUCAGAAUUCAGAACAUAUUUGCCUUUCUGUAACAAUCAAUUACUAAAGACCUCUAUCUAAAAGUCAGUUUUGCAAAGAAAAAAUACAGUAAUUAAGCCAAUGUCAUCUUGUUUUCAUAGUGCUCCAACUAGAGGCCAGUAU
rnacentral:lncRNA from 1 species